AAUAGAAUGGCCAUCUGCCAUUCACUACAACCACUGAAUCAAAACCCUAAUGCCCCAUGUUUUCCCCUCAUUUAACCGACAAAAGAACCAAAACCUUAGAUCCUUUUGAUUCUCAUUAGGUUUAACCGGAAAAAAACUCAUUAAUCGCCAUGACACCACUGUAUUUGAUGAUUGGCGACGAGUAUAUGCCCCUCUUUUACCCCGUUUAAAACCACAACUUGUGGACUGCUGAUUUUAAUUCUGAAAUCCCAUCUCAAGCUCCGAUUGCGACGAAGGAGAUAGGGACCCCGACGGUGGAGAUAGGGACCCCGACGGUGUACUUACGAAGAGGGGAAGACCUGGUGGCCAUGCGUGGGAACCACUCGUGGGAGUCCUAAUCUGCUAUUGUUCUAGCGUUUUCCAGAAACCAUUAGGGUUUCUGGUAUCCUCUGUUAUUGGGCCUUUUUCGGGUUAUUUUUGGGUCUCGAGUUUGGGCCUGAAAUUUUGUAAAUGGGUUUGGAUUUAAUUUAGGCCCGAAAUUUUGUAAACGGAUUAGGUCUGGGUUUUAAUAUUUGGGCUGAACUGUAAAUGGACUUUGGACCUAUAAAUAAUUUAGUUUAUUAUUUUUGUUUAA